AACGAACGCUGGCGGCAGGCUUAACACAUGCAAGUCGAGCGCCCCGAAAGGGGAGCGGCAGACGGGUGAGUAACGCGUGGGAAUGUGCCCUUUGGUCUGGAAUAACUCAGGGAAACUUGAGCUAAUACCGGAUAAGCCCUUCGGGGGAAAGAUUUAUUGCCAUUGGAGCAGCCCGCGUCAGAUUAGCUAGUUGGUGAGGUAAAAGCUCACCAAGGCGAUGAUCUGUAGCUGGUCUGAGAGGACGACCAGCCACACUGGGACUGAGACACGGCCCAGACUCCUACGGGAGGCAGCAGUGGGGAAUAUUGGACAAUGGGGGCAACCCUGAUCCAGCCAUGCCGCGUGAGUGAUGAAGGCCUUAGGGUUGUAAAGCUCUUUUACUCGGGAAGAUAAUGACUGUACCGAGAGAAUAAGCCCCGGCUAACUUCGUGCCAGCCGCCGCCGUAA
rnacentral:rRNA from 1 species